rnacentral:tRNA from 1 species
GCAGCGGUGGUUCAGCAGUAGAAUUUCCCCCCUUCCAUGCAGGAGACCUAGGUUCGAUUCCUGGCCAGUGCA